AAAAAAAACAACAACUUAUCAAUCAGUGAGAUUUAAAGUGAGUUGUCUUUUUAUGUUACAAAAUCAUGGUAAAUCUGGUCACAACUGAACCUUGCUAAAUUUGUAACUUAUGUAGACUGACCAACUGCUCUUUUUACCAGAAAUCUUACAUGUAAAAUUUCUCAUAAGUCAUGAAAAUAUCAGUAUAAAUUACGAAUUUAUGAUCAAUUUAAAUCGUAAGAUUUUUUGUUAAAAAGGUAUCAGAGCAUAAAAAUUGUUCAGGAAAUUAACCUUUCUAAACGAAAUACCUGUUUAAUCUGAAAAAAAUCUUAAGUGCUGAUGGGGUUCAAUUUAAAUGUGUUUUAGAUCCAUAUUAAAUUAUCUUUUACCCUAUAGAAAUAUGUGUGCCACACUAACCUCUUGCGAGUCAUUUUUGGUGAACACUGUAAUGAAUAUAUUAUGCUGUUACAAAUUAAAAAAGACAUGAUAUACAUUUAUAUUAAUUGUUAUGCCUUUUCAUCUAAAUUUGAAAGUCAAUCAUGUUGUUAGAAAAUACACAAACCUUGAAAAUUUUGAUAUAAAUUUAUGUUGUUGAUAUCAUCUGCCAGACAGGCC
rnacentral:lncRNA from 1 species